UGGGGAAUAUUGGACAAUGGGCGAAAGCCUGAUCCAGCCAUGCCGCGUGUGUGAAGAAGGUCUUCGGAUUGUAAAGCACUUUAAGUAGGGAGGAAGGGCAGUAAGCGAAUACCUUGCUGUUUUGACGUUACCGACAGAAUAAGCACCGGCUAACUCUGUGCCAGCAGCCGCGGUAAUACAGAGGGUGCAAGCGUUAAUCGGAAUUACUGGGCGUAAAGCGCGCGUAGGUGGUUCGUUAAGUUGAAUGUGAAAGCCCCGGGCUCAACCUGGGAACUGCAUCCAAAACUGGCGAGCUAGAGUAGGGCAGAGGGUGGUGGAAGUUCCUGUGUAGCGGUGAAAUGCGUAGAUAUAGGAAGGAACACCAGUGGCGAAGGCGACCACCUGGGCUCAUACUGACACUGAGGUGCGAAAGCGUGGGGAGCAAACAGG
rnacentral:rRNA from 1 species